CAACACAACAUCACUUCAUAAAACACUCAACUAAAUUUUAACUUCCAAGCAUGGGUAGGAACAUACUUGUUUUUCUUUUGGUUCUAAUUGUUCUCAUAAUGUCUCCCCAAUCCCAAGUAGCUUUUGCCAGGAAGCUUGUGGAGACCACCAACACCAAAACCGAGGCGAAAAAGAAGACAUCUUCCAUCACCUAUAAAACAUUCAAUCCACGUUCCCAACGCCGCAACUGUGAAUACAACAAUUCUUGCAUCCGCGGAGGCGGGCCUCCUCCAGCCUAGACCGAACCAUGACUACUCCAAGCCCCAACAACCAAAUGCUUCUUCCAUCACAAUAUAAGUUAAAAUAAUUUCAAAUAGUAAAAUAUUGCAAACUGUACUACUGUGUGUGUAUGAUAAUUUGUCGAUAUAUAUGUCAUUUUAAUGAAACUUUUGACCGCUUUCAUUA